rnacentral:rRNA from 1 species
UACGUAGGGUGCGAGCGUUGUCCGGAAUUAUUGGGCGUAAAGGGCUCGUAGGCGGUUUGUUGCGUCGGGAGUGAAAACUCAGGGCUUAACCCUGAGCCUGCUUCCGAUACGGGCAGACUAGAGGUAUGCAGGGGAGAACGGAAUUCCUGGUGUAGCGGUGAAAUGCGCAGAUAUCAGGAGGAACACCGGUGGCGAAGGCGGGUCUCUGGGCCGAAACUGACGCUGAGGAGCGAAAGCGUGGGGAGCAAACAGG